GAUGAACGCUAGCGGCAGGCUUAACACAUGCAAGUCGAGGGGUAUAGUUCUUCGGACCUAGAGACCGGCGCACGGGUGCGUAACGCGUAUGCAAUCUACCUUUCACAGAGGGAUAGCCCAGAGAAAUUUGGAUUAAUACCUCAUAGUAUUAUGAAGUGGCAUCAUUUUAUAAUUAAAGUUCCAACGGUGAAAGAUGAGCAUGCGUCCCAUUAGCUAGAUGGUAAGGUAACGGCUUACCAUGGCGACGAUGGGUAGGGGUCCUGAGAGGGAGAUCCCCCACACUGGUACUGAGACACGGACCAGACUCCUACGGGAGGCGGCAGUGAGGAAUAUUGGUCAAUGGACGCAAGUCUGAACCAGCCAUGCCGCGUUCAGGAUGACGGUCCUAUGGAUUGUAAACUGCUUUUGUACGAGAAGAAACACUCCUUCGUGAAGGAGCUUGACGGUAUCGUAAGAAUAAGGAUCGGCUAACUCCGUGCCAGCCGCCGCCGUAAGAC
rnacentral:rRNA from 1 species